CGAUGAUACGCGAGGAACCUUACCUGGGCUUAAAUGUAGAGUGCAUUUUUAGAGAUAGAAAUUCCCUUCGGGGCUUUCUGCAAGGUGCUGCAUGGUUGUCGUCAGCUCGUGCCGUGAGGUGUCGGGUUAAGUCCCAUAACGAGCGCAACCCUUAUCGUUAGUUGCCAUCUGGUAAUGCAGGGGACUCUAGCGAAACUGCCACCGUAAGGUGAGAGGAAGGUGGGGAUGACGUCAAAUCAGCACGGCCCUUAUGUCCAGGGCUACACACGUGUUACAAUGGUCGGUACAGAGGGCAGCUACCUGGUGACAGGAUGCUAAUCUCGAAAACCGGUCUCAGUUCGGAUCGAAGUCUGCAACUCGACUUCGUGAAGCUGGAUUCGCUAGUAAUCGCGCAUCAGCUAUGGCGCGGUGAAUACGUUCCCGGGCCUU
rnacentral:rRNA from 1 species